CAUGGCUCAGGACGAACGCUGGCGGCGUGCCUAAUACAUGCAAGUCGAACGAGAGCGACCGGUGCUUGCACUGGUCAAUCUAGUGGCGAACGGGUGAGUAACACGUGGGUAACCUGCCCAUCAGAGGGGGAUAACAUCCGGAAACGGAUGCUAAAACCGCAUAGGUCUUCGAGCCGCAUGGCUUGAAGAGGAAAAGAGGCGCAAGCUUCUGCUGAUGGAUGGACCCGCGGUGCAUUAGCUAGUUGGUGAGGUAACGGCUCACCAAGGCCGUGAUGCAUAGCCGACCUGAGAGGGUGAUCGGCCACAUUGGGACUGAGACACGGCCCAAACUCCUACGG
rnacentral:rRNA from 1 species